rnacentral:miRNA from 14 species
CUCCGUCAUUGCAGAGACUGUGUGUGUGUGUGUGUGUGUGUGUGCGCGCGUGCGUGUGCACGCGCGCGCACACGCGCGCUUGUACACACUCACG